rnacentral:lncRNA from 13 species
CUCUUUUUGUGUUAGUGUGUCUUUAACAUGCUUGGACAUAAGACAAUCUCCCUUUGUUAACAAACAGAGAGCAGGCUCACACCAAUAGGCAAGCGGAACAGCUUGCUUGAGUUAAAAUCACAGCUAAGGCACACAGGCACUCUAUGACCUUGGAAUGUUGCAACUUAUGAGGCCAGAAUUUUCUCUUGUAUCCCUACGUUGAGAGAAUGCCAAUGGAUCUUAAAGGAGGAAUCAUAGAGAUCCAUUUUCCAGUCCAAUGCUUGGCUCCCUACCCAGAGCCCAGUACAACACUGGCUCACAGUGGCACUUGCUUCUCCUGCAGGUCCCCAGCACUCCCAGAUUGCCCUAACAUUGGCCAAGCAUGCUGAGAAAGUCCCGUGCCAGUGUCCCGGGUCAUGCAGCAAGAAGCUGGGGAGCAAAGGAAAGAUGAGUCCCUGCGGGUAGGAGCAGGACUGUGAGAGCAGCUGACACAGCUGGAAUCCCUGGUGCCUAUAGCAAUGCCUGGAACAUAGCUGGGGUCAAAAAAAAUCAAGUUACGUAAAUGAAUGCAUUCAUUCCGUUGGUUUUACGAAACUUUGUAAAAUUAUCUUCAAAGGGGGGACACUUUCUUCAAAGGAAAUCUUACGAACAAAGUUCAAAAUGUAGAAGAGAUUAAAGGAGAGAUGGCUGAUUUAAGGACCAAAGCCCCAUCUUCUCCCUCCACUAUCUACAGACACAGGUGAGGAACAUCCAAGGUGCCUGAGAGAACAGGAUAGAAAGUCCUGAUCUAAUUCAUUGGCUUAUUUUACAAACAGGACAAUUGAGUGCUCUGUCUCUGGUUAAUUGGUGUAAACUCCAAUGAAUAUUAGCGUGCCAUCUCAGUCUCUUCUUCAAAGCAGAAAACCAUGAGUUAGUGCUGAAAAUCAAAGGUAGCCCAAGGGAGAGUUGGCCAGCGAGGGUGGGCGCCAUCCCUGGGCUUUGGCUCAGACUAAGAACCUCCCCUGGAAGCACCUGGGUAGCCCUAGCUAAGGACUGGGAUAUUCUUUCCCAAGACUGGGAGAAAGGAAGAAGCAUUAUUGCAAAAUCAUGACACCUCAACCGUCUCCAAG